UACGUAGGUCCCGAGCGUUAUCCGGAAUUAUUGGGCGUAAAGGGUGCGCAGGUGGUUAUGUAAGUCUGGUGUGAAAUUUUUGGGCUCAACCCAAAAAGGUCAUUGGAAACUGCAUAACUUGAGAGCAGGAGAGGUAAGUGGAAUUCCUAGUGUAGCGGUGAAAUGCGUAGAGAUUAGGAGGAACACCAGUGGCGAAGGCGGCUUACUGGACUGUAUCUGACACUGAGGCACGAAAGCGUGGGUAGCAAACAGG
rnacentral:rRNA from 1 species